rnacentral:rRNA from 1 species
AGCGAACGCUGGCGGUAGGCCUAACACAUGCAAGUCGAACGGCAGCACAGUAAGAGCUUGCUCUUACGGGUGGCGAGUGGCGGACGGGUGAGGAAUACAUCGGAAUCUACUUUUUCGUGGGGGUUAACGUAGGGAAACUUACGCUAAUACCGCAUACGACCUACGGGUGAAAGCAGGGGAUCUUCGCACCUUGCGCGAUUGAAUGAGCCGAUGUCGGAUUAGCUAGUGGGGGGGGGAAAGGCCAACCAAGGCGACGAUCCGUAGCUGGUGUGAGAGAAUGAUCGCCGACACGGGAACUGGGACACGGUCCAGACGACUACGGGAGGGAGCAGUGGGGAAUAUUGGACAAUAGGGGGAAGCCUGAUCCAGCCAUACCGAGUGGGUGGAGACGGCGUUCGGGUUGUGAAGCCGUUUUGUUGGGAGAGAAAAGCAGCAGGUUAAUACGCCGCUGUUCUGACGGUACCCAAAGAAUAAGCACCGGCUAACUUCGUG